rnacentral:rRNA from 1 species
GACGAACGCUGGCGGUGUGCAUCAUACAUGCAAGUCGAACGAUAAGGCCCUUCGGGUACAUAAGUGGCGGACGGGUGAGUAACACGUAGGAAAUCUACCUUAAGGAGGGGGACAACUUCGGGAAACUGGAGCUAAUACCCCAUAUGUGGCGAGAUGAAAUUUUUGUCAUGAAAGUUCCGGCGCCUUAAGAUGAGCCUGCGUCUGAUUAGCUAGUUGGUGGGGUAAGGGCCUACCAAGGCGACGAUCAGUAGCUGGUUUGAGAGAAUGAUCAGCCACAAUGGGACUGAGACACGGCCCAUACUCCUACGGGAGGCUG